GAGAUAUGAUGAGCAACAAAUUGGUCCGUGUUUCUGAUUAACCGUGACCGAGAAUUUCUUAACCAAACUCUGAUCUC
rnacentral:snoRNA from 1 species